UACUUCAGGAGGUCCCACCAGCCAGCAAGCCAGAGCAUGGCGGCCAUCCCCUCCAGCGGCUCGCUCCUGGCCACCUACGACUACUACCGGCGCCGCCUGGAUUCCACUUUCAGCAACAGCUCCUGCGGCAGUAUCGAGUGCCCCGGGGAAGCCAUUCCCCACCCCCCAGGUCUCCCCAAGGCUGACCCGGGUCACUGGUGGGCCAGCUUGUUUUUCGGGAAGUCCACCCUCCAGUUCAUGGCCACGGUGUUGGAGUCCGCAAAGCACCCGGAACCCCCGCCCCCCGGCCCCCCAGGCCUCCAGCAGCAUGACCACCGGUGUUCUGGCUCGGGACGCCCCGAGUCCAGCACAGCCAGCGCUGGGCCCCGGUCCUGA